UUAAAAAUGUUUUUAUUUAAUGUGAAAAAUAACCAGCUGCCGAAUCGUUUGUGAAUUGAAUCGAUUCUCAAUUUUUUUUUUUUUUUCCACGAAAAUCUCGUCAUUUUCUGCUUGUGUUUCUCCAUAUUUUGCAAAAAUACACAAUCGUUCAACUUUGAGAGUUCCAACUAAUUUUAUAUUAAAACUAAAACAGAGGCAAACGGAUGAAUCUUGAUAAUAAUAAUUGCGCAGUAAUCGUGCAAAUUGAAAUUGCGAGCUGAAUCAGAGAAAUAUCAGUUCAAUGUUACGUUAAACCGAUUUACGAAAGGAAGUCGCGUAAUAUGUAUAUCGCACCAGCGACUAGAAACCUUCCGCUGUCCUUCUUCAAUCGGAGAAGCAUUGAAAUUUUCCAGAUAAAUCUUCCAGUGUGAUUGUUCUUCAAUACGAUGCAAUUGAAUUGUUUAUUUUUCUCUCAUUGUUUAACUGUGAUUACUCAUGAACGAUGCAACAUCGUGAGCUCAUCGUGUAAAAAAUGACAUAACUCGCAAAUGGAACAGCAAACAGCGGAGAACCACUGGAACUAUGUGAGUCAGGCAGAGUAAGGUCCAGUAUAAGGCCCUGGGGUGAUUCGCCUAGACGGCCAUGACCAUAUUACAGGCCAGAGGCCCCCAAUACCAUCCAGUAAACUUACUUCCAGUAACAAUUGGCGAAAUCAUUACCGGCAAUUCGCUUCUUAGAUUUACGGCGAUAAUACUGUCAGUAUUUUGUGAAUCGAAGUACGUCGAGGGCUUAUUCUUUAUUACAAACGGCGAGUUUGUAAAAUAUAAAUAUUAAUUAUUAAAAACAUUUGGUAUUUUUAAUAUGUUUGUAUUAAGAAAAUCUUAAUGCAAACUUAAAAGUAUCUUAAUAUACACAUUACUGUUUUUUAAUACAAUAAAUUUUAUUUUAAAAAUUUUCUAUCGUUUCUUUAUCACAUAAACUGUUUCUUAUAUUUAUAAAAAUGACUCUAAUUAACACUGUACAUGUUUACGAC